ensembl:lncRNA
AGACGUUAAGGCCACGCCCCGGGCCACUCCCCCCUCGUCGGGCUGCGGCCUCCCAGUCUCCUCGGCCACACCCCCCUUCCCAACUACUUAAAAGGACACUCCAAAGCUCACGUUUCCUUGCUCUGUAUCGGGGUGUUCUUGUCUGGGUAUCUCUACCCGCUUACGGUGGAAUGGUUGCGCCCUUCGGGUAGCCAAGCAAGCCUCCAAGCAUAAGUCAGGUCGGACCAGGAUGAGAGAGAGGUUUCGGGCAGUUGUUUUACUUCCUGCUUGGCGCACGAAUUGUGGCCCCCUCGUUUCACGAGCCUGGGGAACUUCACUGGAGCUUCAGAUGGGGAUGAUGCAUUCUGCAAGGUACAGGUUACCGUGAGGAUUAAAUGAGAUAAUAUGGGAAGCACUGAAUGCCUGAUACACUGGAGGUGCUCAAUAAAUAUGACUUUCCUCAUCAACCUUGCCCUCUGCAUCCAUCAUCUGCCCAGUUCCCCAGGCCAGGAACCUGAGGUCAUCCAAGACACCUUCUCCCCACUCCUCCCCACUCCCCAAUCCAUCCUGAAGCCAAGUGGCUGUUCCCCUCACAAGUAUUUGUCAAGCCUUUUCAUUCUUCCGGUUCCCACUGCUGCUAUCUGGGAG